rnacentral:misc_RNA from 1 species
AUAUAUCAACCUCUUUAAAUUUUGAGAGUGUUUGGAUGUGGGGGUGUUAUUUUGCUGGCCUUCUCCAAGGUCAGCUCCCCUGAAAUGUAUUAGCGGAACAAUUUGUUGACCGUUCAUUGGUGUGAUAGCAUAUCUACGCUAUUGACGUGAAUCAAGUUCAGCUCAUAACAGUCCAUUGACUUGGACAAUUCUCUAUUUAUUA